rnacentral:rRNA from 1 species
CUACGGGAGGCUGCAGUGGGGAAUAUUGGACAAUGGGGGAAACCCUGAUCCAGCAAUGCCGCGUGUGUGAAGAAGGCCUGCGGGUUGUAAAGCACUUUCGGUUGGGAGGACUGCUUCUAGCACUAAUAUUGUUGGAAGUUGACGUUACCUUCAGAAGAAGCACCGGCUAACUCCGUGCCAGCAGCCGCGGUAAUACGGAGGGUGCAGGCGUUAAUCGGAAUUACUGGGCGUAAAGCGCGCGUAGGCGGCUAGAUCAGUCGGGUGUGAAAGCCCCGGGCUUAACCUGGGAACUGCAUCCGAUACUGUCUAGCUUGAGUACAGGAGAGGAGAGUGGAAUUCCACAUGUAGCGGUGAAAUGCGUAGAUAUGUGGAGGAACACCAAUGGCGAAGGCAGCUCUCUGGCCUGAUACUGACGCUGAGGUGCGAAAGCGUGGGGAGCAAACAGGAUAGAUACCCUAGUAGUC